rnacentral:rRNA from 1 species
AUAACUUACCCUUAGGACUGGGAUAACUCUGGGAAACUGGGGAUAAUACCGGAUAUUAGGCUAUGCCUGGAAUGGUUUGCCUUUGAAACGUUCUUUUCGCCUAAGGAUAGAUCUGCGGCUGAUUAGGUCGUUGGUGGGGUAAUGGCCCACCAAGCCUAUGAUCGGUACGGGUUGUGAGAGCAAGAGCCCGGAGAUGGAACCUGAGACAAGGUUCCAGACCCUACGGGGUGCAGCAGGCGCGAAACCUCCACAAUGUACGAAAGUGCGAUGGGGGAAUCCCAAGUGUUAUUCUUAACAGAAUAGCUUUUCAUUAGUGUAAAAAGCUUUUAGAAUAAGAGCUGGGCAAGACCGGUGCCAGCCGCCGCGGUAACACCGGCAGCUCGAGUGGUAGCUGUUUUUAUUGGGCCUAAAGCGUUCGUAGCCGGUUUGAUUAGUCUUUGGUGAAAGCUUGUAGCUAAACUAUAAGAAUUGCUGGAGAUACUAUCAGACUUGAAGUCGGGAGAGGUUAGAGGUACUACCGGGGUAGGGGUGAAAUCCUAUAAUCCUGGGAGGACCACCUGUGGCGAAAGCGUCUAACUAGAACGAUCUUGACGGUGAGUAACGAAAGCCAGGGGCGCGAACCGGAUUAGAUACCCGGGUAGUCCUGGCCGUAAACGAUGUGGACUUGGUGUUGGAAUGGCUUCGAGUUGUUCCAGUGCCGAAGGGAAGCUGUUAAGUCCACCGCCUGGGAAGUACGGUCGCAAGACUGAAACUUAA